UGUCACCUGUGACACGUGAAGAAAAUCCUGCGUGGUUGAUUCCACUUGCUGCUCAGAAUGUCAGCUGUCACCGUGGUCGCCCUUUCUUCUGCCAUGAAAGUACAAGACGGAUGGAAAGGAUCCGUAGUGGUCUGCAAGUACAAGGCUUUUCCAAGAAGCAUUAGCAGCCUUGUAACUAGUGACAGUGAGUCCUGAUGUGCUUUUCAUGAGUUCUUGCUUCAAUAAGGUCCUUUUUCCUUAACCUACAGUGUGUAAUUUUUGAGUUCAGUCAGAAAGAGAUUUUCCAGAAUGGAAAUCUUUCUCAUUCAAAGAAGUUGCAUUUUAUGAACUUCCCAUCAGAGCGGCUCUUCAGAGAUGAUGUACUUGGCAGUAGAAGUCAUCAGCAACAAGGCUUUUCACUCUCUUGGGGG